rnacentral:rRNA from 1 species
GACGUAGGGCGCGAGCGUUGUCCGGAUUUAUUGGGCGUAAAGAGCUCGUAGGCGGCUUGUCGCGUCGAAUGUGAAAACUCGGGGCUCAACUCCGAGCUUGCAUUCGAUACGGGCAGGCUAGAGUUCGGUAGGGGAGACUGGAAUUCCCGGUGUAGUGGUGAUAUGCGUAGAUAUCGGGAGGAACACCUGUGGCGAAGGCGGCUUUCUGGGCCUUACCUGACGCUGAGACGCGAAAGCGUGGGGAGCGAACCGG